GAUGAACGCUGGCGGCGUGCCUAAUACAUGCAAGUCGAGCGAACAGACGAGGAGCUUGCUCCUCUGACGUUAGCGGCGGACGGGUGAGUAACACGUGGAUAACCUACCUAUAAGACUGGGAUAACUUCGGGAAACCGGAGCUAAUACCGGAUAAUAUAUUGAACCGCAUGGUUCAAUAGUGAAAGACGGUUUUGCUGUCACUUAUAGAUGGAUCCGCGCCGCAUUAGCUAGUUGGUAAGGUAACGGCUUACCAAGGCAACGAUGCGUAGCCGACCUGAGAGGGGGAUCGGCCACCCUGGAACGGAGCCGCGGUCCAGACUCCUACGGGAGGCAGCAGUAGGGAAUCUUCCGCAAUAGGCGAAAGCUUGGCGGAGCAACGCCGCGUGAGUGAUGAAGGUCUUCGGAUCGUAAAACUCUGUUAUUAGGGAAGAACAAAUGUGUAAGUAACUAUGCACGUCUUGACGGUAACUAAUCAGAAAGCCACGGCUAACUACGUG
rnacentral:rRNA from 1 species